CAUACAUUUGUUGUGUUAACAAACAAACUUUAGUCUUGCUUUUUUUAUGCUGGUCUUGGAGUAGUAGCACAGAAGCCUUUAAGUCCAUGGCAAUGUCGGUCUCUCUUAAUGGUGAACGUACAGUACAUGCUUUUGGUAUCUGAUGACUCCAACUCCUUCACCAGUUACUUUCUUGUUAAUAUCAAACUGAUUUAAAAAUGUUAAGUAUGACUUGUGAGCUGUUAAAAAGUUUUUGUGAUCUUAGGGACCCAAACAGGACAUAUGAGAUAGUUCCAUGUACUAACACAUAGGUAUAGUGUUUGUAUUACUAGGGUACUGUGGGUAUUUUUUAGAAAUCCAAGAUUUACAGAUCAUUUAUAAAUCUUGUUCCUAUGUUCGGUCUUCUAUGCAUUCUCGUGUUUUUGCACAUUAGAACAUUUUUCAUUUUCAAGUUAAAUAAUGUAUCAAGUAGGUAUGACAGUUUACAAGAAGUCUUGCGACUGGUGUUAAACUGUAUAUCAACACACACGCACACACACACACACACACACACGCACACAUGCAUACACGCACACACGCACACAAACACACACAGCAGUGUCUUUAACUGUGGUUGUAAAAAAAAAAAGCCCUGAGUCAACCUGAAGCUGACAGACCAGUAAUUUAUAUGCAUAUAAAAAUAUUUUCUUGCAGUGCAACUACCAUUUAACCCAAACCAAUAUAAAAAUCCUUGACGGAGUAGAAUUUCCACAAACUGUAAAGAACCUGCAAAGUUAGUAAUCUGUAACAUUUGGGUAUUCCCUGCUUGUCUCUAAAAAAGACUUAGGUAAUGUGUUAAACUUGUGGUUUCUUGAGGUACGUGACACAAGAGGUAAGUGUGUAUGAAAGUCUUUUGGCCUUUACAGGGAAAUGUCAUUAGCAUAUACCAAACUGUACAGCAAACACAUAUAUUUACCAUAUAUGUCCCAAUGCUUAAUCCAAAAUAUAAUUAAAAUACAGCCCCAAUACAUAACAAUAAGUCAUAUCGCACUAAUUGACAUCAGUGUCUCCAUGACAACAGAAACAACUCAUGAAAUGCUCAUGCCUGAAACUACUAGCCUGUUGGAAUGAGAGUAGCGCUUCCACAACACUUUUGAAUUUACAUGUUAGUCAUGAAUGAUGUAUGGUGUAUUGGUGUAUUUUGUACACAUUUCUUGCAGCAUGUUACUGGCAUAAAGCAGCAAAAUCAGUUUAGUUCCUGACAGAUCUCUAGCCCUGUGGGUUGACACACCAGUGACGCAGUUCAAUAUAAGCAGCGUACAACGUUUCCUUUCAUGUUGCUGAAAUGGACAAAGUGAAACCCUAUGUGAUACUGUUUGCCACAGGCUGUGUCUUGUCCAUGUGCAUGGCUUUAGACUGUAACUGGAAGACACAAUAUGAAUACAAAGGGAGAUGUUGUAAAACCUGCCCUUCAGGUGAAUUUCCCAAACAACACUGCAGUGAAAACAGUCAGAGUGUAUGUGAGAAGUGCAAGGGAAAAAGUGACCACUGCUUCUGUAAUAAUGCUUUGUGUGAAAAUGUUGAAUGUUCUAAAUGUUCAACCAAUCCACAGUGCAAACAGGGAGAAGAACUCAAGAGAACAGGUUCGUUUAAAUUUGGAUAUAGUUGUGGAGUGUGUACGAAUCAAAAAUACUACAAUGAGAAGGACAAAAUGUGCAAGCCUAUACUGGACUGCAGCGAAAUUGGCAUGCUUGUAAUAUUUCCUGGAAACAGGACUCACAAUGCAAGAUGCGGUUACCAAGUCAAUUACCAUAAUGACUUGGUGACUCAUAAUGGCGUAGUGAUGGGUUUAGUCAUCACUGGUUUGGCUUGUCUGGCAAUUCUUAUUUAUGUCUGCAUUCAAAGGACCAGAGAACCGAGAACAAAGAAAAAAUACCCUCCAACCUCAAGUUCCCUGAAUGUGCCCUCUGAGGAAUGUGGCUGCAAGCUGUCCAAAGAAGAAAUAGGAGAAGUGUAACCUUAACAGUUUCAGGGUUGCAGGGGAGCCUGAAACCUAUCCUAGGGAACUUGAGGCACAAGGAGAAGGACACCCUGGAUGGGAGGGCCAACCCAUUACAGGGCAUAAUCACACACACUACAGACAAUUUGGAAAUGCCAAUCAGCCUACAAGGCAUGUCUUUGGACUUAGGGAGAAAACAGGAGUACCCGGAGGAAACCCCCAAAGUACAGGGAGAAUGUGCAGACUCCAUGGACACAGGGUGGAGGUGGGAAUUCAGCCCCCAACCCUGGAGGUUCGAGGCAAAUGUGCUAACCACUAAGGCACCAUGCCCCCAUGCCUGAAUUAGUUCUUGUGAAAUCAGUUGCCAUUAGAAGUCAAAUACAGUGAGGGAAAUAAGUAUUGAACACGUCAACAUUGUUUUCAGUAAAUAUAUUUCCAUUGAGGCUAUUCACAUGAAAUUUUCACCAGACAUCAGUAUUCACUCAAGGAAUCCGGAAAGUUAAAGAAUUCACAACAUUAGAUUCCAUAAAUAAAGUUAUGUGUUAUAAAGUGGAAUGACAUGGGAAAAAUGUAUUAAACACGCUAAGAAAAAGCAGUUCUCCAAGGCAAGGAACCAGCUGAAAUCUGUAAGUAAUUAUACCUUCUAUGUGUGCAAAUUAAUAUCAGCUGGGUUAAUAAAUCGAUGGUCUAUAAAAAGGCUUUUCGUUACCAAGGUGUCACACAAGAAUCAUCUCACGAUGGGUAAAAGCAAAGAGCUCUCCUUUGGAACCUUAUUGUUGCAAAACAUAUUGAUGGAAUCGGAUACAGAUUUAUCUCAAGACUUCUGAAUCUUCCAGUAAGCACCAUUGGGGCCAUUAUCUGCAAGUGGAAGUAACAUGACUCUAUCAUCAACCAGCCACGCACAGGAGCUCCUUGCAAGAUUUCUGACCAGGGAGUCAGAAGAAUAGUCAGAAGAGUAGCCCAAGAGCCAAGGACCACUCAGAAAGAGCUCCAGAAACACUUGGAGGCAGCAAGUGUCAUCGUCACAGAGAAAACAAUAGGCAAUGCACUCCACUGCUCACACUCACCCCACAAGACUCCAUUACCAAAGAAAAGGCAUGUCGAAGCUUGUUUAAAAUUUACUACAACUCAUUUGGACAAGCCUAUGACGUACUGGGAGAGUGUAGUCUGGUCAGACGAGAGCAAAAUUUAACUUUUUGGCUGUCAUACUACACACCAUGUUUGGAGAAGAAAUGACAAUGCACAUCACCCUAAAAACACUACACCAACAGUGAAGUUUGGAGGUGGAAGCAUCAUGGUGUGGGGCUGUUUUUCAUCACAUGGUACUGGCAGACUUCAUAUAAUUGAAGGAACGAUGAUUGGAGCCCUUUACCGGGAGAUUCUUGAGAGGAAUCUGCUGCCAUCCACCAGGGUGAUGAAGAUGAGACGUGGGUGGACUUCCAGCAGGACAACGAUCCAAAGCAUACAGCAAAGGAAACUCUCGAUUGGUUUCAGAGAAAAAAAUCAAGGCGUUAGAAUGGCCCAGUCAAUCACCUGACUCGAAUCCAAUUGAACAAGAUUUAAAGACAAUAUGUUUAGAAGAAUGGGCCAAGAUCACACCUGAAUACUGCGGCACAUUAAUUUCUUCAUACAGGAAGCACCUUGAAGCUGUCACUACAAACAAAGACUUCUCCACUAAGUAUUAAAUUAAUUUCAGUUAGCGUGUUCAAUACUUUUUACCUGUGUCAUUCCACUUUAUUACACAUAACUUCAUUUAUGAACUUUAAUGUUUGGAUUUCUUUAUAUGUGUGGAUUUCUUGAGUUAAUGCCAAAGUCUGGUGAAAAUUUCAUGUGAAUAGCCUCAUUGGAAAUAUAUUUACUGAUAAAAAUGUUGACACAUUCAAUACUUAUUUCCCCCACUGUAAUUAGAUGACUUGAGUGCACCUGUGUGCAAAUAAAGUGUCAUGUGUUCUUACUAUUAAUUACAGCUAUUACUGGAAGACUCCAGAGUUGAUGGAGAAUAUACCUAAACAAAUAGCAUCAUGAAGUCCAAUGAGCUAUCAAAACAAUUCCAGGACAAAAUUCUGGGUUUGGUAUAAAUAUAAAUCAGGGUUUGGCUUGUAAAAAGAAAUAUUUCAACCUUUAAACAUCCUGCUGACAUCACCAUAACAAAAAGUAUGUGCCAUGGUGGUGCAGUGGGUAAUGUUACUGACUCACAACUCCAGGAUCACUGUCUUUGUUGUUGUUUUUUUUCUGUGCAUGUUCUCUAUAGGUCUGUGUGGGUUUUUUCCAGCCUCUCUGGUCUCACCGUAUAGUCAUGAAAACAAGAAAGAUUUAAUCAGCAGGGUCAGGGAAAUGAGUCAGCAUUGAAGUUAAAGUUUUUCCACCAGAAAACCUGUUCCAGUUUGCAAGAUGAAAAGUAUCCCCAAAACACGAUGCUACCAGCACCAUGCUUCACUGUGGUGAUAGUGCUCUCAGGAUAUUGAGUUUCCAUCAAAAGUUUGUGCCAAUGCCAAAAAGUUCAAUUUUGGUCUCAUCAUAAAAUCACAUGAAAUGUUUGCUGAUUCUGCAGCAUUUCAUACUCUGGUUGUGCUGACCCCUGUGAAUUCCCCAAAUGUGGGAAUCUUGACUGCAUCAUUUCUGGUCAUGGGGGACUGCAUUCAUGCUCUUCCUUGUUUUUGUUUAUUAUUAUUAUUAUUAUUAUUAUUAUUAUUAUUUA